GUCGAGCGGACCGACGGGAGCUUGCUCCCUUAGGUCAGCGGCGGACGGGUGAGUAACACGUGGGUAACCUGCCUGUAAGACUGGGAUAACUCCGGGAAACCGGGGCUAAUACCGGAUGCUUGAUUGAACCGCAUGGUUCAAUCAUGAAAGGCGGCUUCGGCUGCCGUUUACAGAUGGACCCGCGGCGCAUUAGCUAGUUGGUGAGGUAACGGCUCACCAAGGCGACGAUGCGUAGCCGACCUGAGAGGGUGAUCGGCCACACUGGGACUGAGACACGGCCCAGACUCCUACGGGAGGCAGCAGUAGGGAAUCUUCCGCAAUGGACGAAAGUCUGACGGAGCAACGCCGCGUGAGUGAUGAAGGUUUUCGGAUCGUAAAGCUCUGUUGUUAGGGAAGAACAAGUACCGUUCGAAUAGGGCGGUACCUUGACGGUACCUAACCAGAAAGCCACGGCUAACUACGUGCCAGCAGCCGCGGUAAUACGUAGGUGGCAAGCGUUGUCCGGAAUUAUUGGGCGUAAAGCGCGCGCAGGCGGUUUCUUAAGUCUGAUGUGAAAGCCCCCGGCUCAACCGGGGAGGGUCAUUGGAAACUGGGGAACUUGAGUGCAGAAGAGGAGAGUGGAAUUCCACGUGUAGCGGUGAAAUGCGUAGAGAUGUGGAGGAACACCAGUGGCGAAGGCGACUCUCUGGUCUGUAACUGACGCUGAGGCG
rnacentral:rRNA from 1 species